AGAGCAGAGCUCUGCACUUCGUUGCCAUGGCAAUGGAGCGAGGACCACAACACACAUUUUCUGGCACUACGUCAGCUGCUCCCACUGCAUCCCGGGGAAUGUUCUCACGGGACCGUGGGCUUCACAUGCUGCAGUCUCAUUCUUGGGUUCCUCACCUUGCAGGGACCAUGAUGCUCCCCUUCCAAGCAUGUUUCUCAGAGACAAAGCCUGAAGAAAUGGUGCCAGAGCAAUGAAAAUGCCCUGCAAACCCAAGCACUGCCUGUACACGUGGUUCUUAAUGUGCGGCACGCCUUUCCAUCAAGCUAAACAAUGCUGACCAUCAUUUCCAGGACAGACUGCCUUCGGUAACGCCUUAAUAAACUUUUCCCUUUGUUUGA